AGAGUGAACGCUGGCGGCAGGCCUAACACAUGCAAGUCGAACGGCAGCGCAGCAGUAGCAAUACUGUGGGCGGCGAGUGGCGGACGGGUGAGGAAUACAUCGGAAUCUACCUUGUCGUGGGGGAUAACGUAGGGAAACUUACGCUAAUACCGCAUACGAACUAUGGUUGAAAGCGGCGGACCGCAAGGCGUCGCGCGAUUGGAUGAGCCGAUGUCCGAUUAGCUAGUUGGCGGGGUAAAGGCCCACCAAGGCGACGAUCGGUAGCUGGUCUGAGAGGAUGAUCAGCCACACUGGAACUGAGACACGGUCCAGACUCCUACGGGAGCAGCAGUGGGGAAUCUUGCGCAAU
rnacentral:rRNA from 1 species